UACGUAGGGGGCGAGCGUUGUCCGGAUUUAUUGGGCGUAAAGAGCUCGUAGGUGGUUCGGUAAGUCGGAUGUGAAAUCUCCAGGCUCAACCUGGAGGGGUCAUUCGAUACUGCCGUGACUAGAGGUCGGUAGGGGAGUGUGGAAUUCCUGGUGGAGCGGUGAAAUGCGCAGAUAUCAGGAGGAACACCCGUAGCGAAGGCGGCACUCUGGGCCGAUACUGACACUGAGGAGCGAAAGCGUGGGGAGCGAACAGG
rnacentral:rRNA from 1 species